rnacentral:lncRNA from 1 species
CUUAUUAAUAUAUAAAAACAUUUAUAGACCAUUGUCUUAAGAAAUGCAGUGUGAUGAUAUUUCAAUUUGAGUAAAAAAUGAGGCUCUCAAUUACAGCAUUUCUUUCACUGCUAAUGAGAGAGAAUCUAAUCUUUCUAUGAAGAGAGAGAAAGUCUCACAUUUCCUAGUGUGUUCCAGGAUCUCCUGUAUUCUUUACAUUUGGAGGAAUCAACCAUGAAGGAGUUGGCCACGGUGUCAGCAUGUGAAGGCAGAGGAACUCCAGCUCAGAGAGAGGCUUCCCUGGAUCCACUUGCCUCAACGACCCUCUGAUGGAAUCCAGGUGGGAGAAUGCAGCUGGGCAGCUUGGGAGGCUUGAAUGGAGGGGAGGGAACAGUGCUGCUUUAAGACCCAGGCCCACUCCUGGGGAAGUGAGCAGAGGGCUUGGAUCUUGUCUUCCUGGCAGGUUUGGC